rnacentral:sRNA from 1 species
AUGUUUGUUAUAUAGAUUGUUAUGAUAUGGCAUUUUAAAAGUGACUCUCCUCGUUUGUUCAUUCUUUAGGAGAGAGGGAACUUCGAUAAUCUCAUGUUGGGCAUUGUACUUUGUACAUUUCCUAGUCACUGUUGUUCUUCACAAGAAAUCCCUGGUAGCCUUGCUUUUGAAUGAAGAGUGUUGUUUUGCUACAUUUAGGGCAACAAUGAAAAUCAUUUUGUUUCAUGCACUCCGACCGUGUCAGCUGUCAAGAUGGCUGCAUUAGAUCCUUUUUUCAGUGCAUGUAUACAUGUACUUUGGAUUUUUAUAUAAUUUUAGGCUUGCAAGAAACACAGUUUGCUUAUGAAUCUUUAUAUACUUUUUGGCUUGCAAGAAAUAGUUUUACCAUGUCAUUUUUCAUACACAUUCAGAUUUAAUAUUUUUCUAAGGCAAUAAAUGUAUUUUGUAAGAUAUUAUAAUUAUGAUUAUCAAUGUCUGAAAUAUUUUUUCUAAACUACAAUGUACAUCAAACCUAGAUUUUUUUUAAUGCUAGCCUAAAACAUACGCUAAAAGUCUCUUUUCUAUCCAUACGUGCAUAUCUUUUCCUUAAUCAAUUACUGAUCUUCUUUAAUGAAUGAUCAGUCUGAAUACAUUGGUGGGUAUUUUUUUCAUUUUAGUUCGGAGAGAAUUUUUUUUUCUCAAAAAUCUUAAUUUAGAGUUGUUAAUGUGCUGUCAUUGCACAGAAAUUGAUAAUUCUCGAAAACUAUUAUCAGGUUUAACAUUUAUAAUUACGCAUUUGUUUAUCUGUUCGUUUGUUUAAUGGUGUGUUUCUUGGAGAUCAUGCUGACCGGUUUGUUGAUUGUGACAGUGCUGUGCCACUUUAUAUGUCAUACAAUGUAACCAGUGGUCAAGAAAUAAACAGAAAAUAUAC